rnacentral:rRNA from 1 species
AUACGUAUGGGGCGAGCGUUAUCCGGAAUUAUUGGGCGUAAAGAGUACGUAGGUGGUUUUUUAAGCGGGAGGUUUAAGGCUACGGCUUAACCGUAGUUCGCCUCUCGAACUGGAAGACUUGAGUGCAGGAGAGGAAAGCGGAAUUCCUAGUGUAGCGGUGAAAUGCGUAGAUAUUAGGAGGAACACCGGUGGCGAAGGCGGCUUUCUGGACUGUAACUGACACUGAGUUACGAAAGCGUGGAGAGCAAACAGGAUGAGAUACCCGGGUUGCCCACGCCGUAAACGAUGAGCACUAGGUGUAGGGGGUAUCGACUCCCUCUGUGCCGCAGUUAACACAAUAAGUAUUCCGCCUGGGGAGUACGGCCGCACGGUUGAAACUCAAAUGAAUUGACGGGG